GCAUGCAAGUCGAGCGGACAGAUGGGAGCUUGCUCCCUGAUGUUAGCCCCGGACGGGUGAGUAACACGUGGGUAACCUGCCUGUAAGACUGGGAUAACUCCGCGAAACCGGGGCUAAUACCGGAUGGUUGUUUGAACCGCAUGGUUCAGACAUAAAAGGUGGCUUCGGCUAGCACUUACAGAUGGACGGCGCGGCGCAUUAGCUAGUUGGUGAGGUAACGGCUCACCAAGGCGACGAUGCGUAUCCGACCUGAGAGGGUGAUCGGCCACACUGGGACUGAGACACGGCCCAGACUCCUACGGGAGGCAGCAGUAGGGAAUCUUCCGCAAUGGACGAAAGUCUGACGGAGCAACGCCGCGUGAGUGAUGAAGGUAAUCGGAUCGUAUAGCUCUGAAUGUUAGGGAAGAACAAGUGGCGUUCAAAUAGGGCGGCACCUUGACGGUACCUAACCAGAAAGCCACGGCUAACUACGUGCCAGCAGCCGCGGUAAUACGUAGGUGGCAAGCGUUGUCCGGAAUUAUUGGGCGUAAAGGGCUCGCAGGCGGUAACUUAAGUCUGAUGUGAAAGCCCCCGGCUCAACCGCGGAGGGUCAUUGGAAACUGGGGAACUUGAGUGCAGAAGAGGAGAGUGGAAUUCCACGUGUAGCGGUGAAAUGCGUAGAGAUGUGGAGGAUUCACCAGUGGCGAAGGAAGACUCUCUGGUCUGUAACUGACGCUGAGGAGCGAAAGCGUGGGGAGCGAACAGGAUUAGAUACCCUGGUAGUCCACGCCGUAAACGAUGAGUGCUAAGUGUUAGGGGGUAUCCGCCCCUUAGUGCUGCAGCUAACGCAUUAAGCACUCCGCCUGGGGAGUACGGUCGCAAGACUGAAUCUCAAAGGAAUUGACGGGGGCCCGCACAAGCGGCUCG
rnacentral:rRNA from 1 species